rnacentral:rRNA from 1 species
UACGUAGGGUGCAAGCGUUAAUCGGAAUUACUGGGCGUAAAGCGUGCGCAGGCGGUUAUAUAAGUCAGAUGUGAAAUCCCCGGGCUCAAACCGGGAAAUGCAUUUGAGACUGUAUAGCUAGAGGAAGGUAGAGGGGGAUGGAAUUCCGCGUGUAGCAGUGAAAUGCGUAGAUAAGCGGAGGAACACCGAUGGCGAAGGCAAUCCCCUGGACCUGUACUGACGCUCAUGCACGAAAGCGUGGGGAGCAAACAGGAUUAGAUACCCUGGUAGUCCACGCCCUAAACGAUGUCAACUGGUUGUUGGGUCUUAACUGACUCAGUAACGAAGCUAACGCGUGAAGUUGACCGCCUGGGGAGUACGGCCGCAAGGUUG